rnacentral:rRNA from 1 species
UACGUAGGGUGCAAGCGUUAAUCGGAAUUACUGGGCGUAAAGCGUGCGCAGGCGGUCCGCUAAGACAGAUGUGAAAUCCCCGGGCUUAACCUGGGAACUGCAUUUGUGACUGGCGGGCUAGAGUAUGGCAGAGGGGGGUAGAAUUCCACGUGUAGCAGUGAAAUGCGUAGAUAUUGGGAGGAACACCGGUGGCGAAAGCGACUUUCUGGACGAUGACUGACGCUCAGAUGCGAAAGCGUGGGUAGCAAACAGG